AAGGUUCGCGCAAGCGAUGAAAAGGGAAUGGGGUGUGAGUCCCCAACUGUCCCGCAGCUGUAAGUUUCCUUUUGGAGCAAUACACAUAAGCCACUGAGAUUUUCGGGAAGGCGUGUUGCUUGGGAACAAGUCAGAAGACCUGCCUUUUGUG
rnacentral:ncRNA from 1 species